UCGAACUCCUGACCUCAGGUGAUCCGCCCGACUCGGCCUCACAAAGUGCUGGGAUUACAGGCGUGAGCCACCGCACCUGGCCCAUUUUGGUAGUUUAAUAACCACACACGCAGGACCAUCUAGGGCAAGUUCUGAGUUUGGGGGCUCCCUUGUGUAGUUCCUUCUUUUUGAAUCUGUGCUGAGGAUGAUUUUCUUUAGAUCGUGGCAGAAGUGGUACUAUGCUCAUUGCAGGCCUCAGUCUUAAGAAGUCCUAAUGACCUCUUCUUUUGUACUCUUGGGAAUCUUAAGCUGCCAUGUAAGAAGUUUGGUUGCCACUGAAGAGAUCACAUGGCAAAUCCACAUGAGGAGAAGCCCUGAGAUUACAUGGAAUGAGAGAGAGAGAGAGAUAGAGGAGAGGAGAGAGGAGAGAGAGGAGGGUAGGGGAGGAGGGAGAGAUCAAAUUGGCUGAAAACAAUAGCUGACCCCAGGCCCAGCUUUCCUGUAGCUAAAUGCAGCCACAAAAGUGACCACUGUAAAGACCAGCAGAAGAACUGCUCAGUUGAGCCCCAAACCAGAUUCCAGAACUGUGAGAAAAUGGAAUGAUUGUCAUUUUAAGCCACUAAAUUUGGGGGCGGUUUGUUAUGCAGCAAUAGCUAACCAAAUAGAAGUUAGCUCUCAGAUGUGGUUUCUUCUGUAACAAGAACACAAAGCUAGUGGCCAUGGCUUUUGGCCUGGGUGGUGAGUAGAAGCUGGAGGAGGCUCCAGGAGACUUAGUGAAGGCUGGAAGGGCAGUGAGCAGUUGGUAUUAGAGUCUGGAGAAAAAACAAUCUGUGUCAUGUAGUGGUUGAAAGUUUGGCAACAUGUUGACUAUAAAAGAUAGCAAAUGUGUCUAAAGAACUUGGGGAUCUGACUAAGAGACUAUUUCCAGACAGAACGUUGAAAGUGCUAACUGUCUUCUUUUAGCUGUGCCUGAUAAGGCACAAAUAGAGAGAGAAGGAUAAAAAAUAAAAGUGUCAACACAGGAAAACUUUCCAACCCAGGACUUACUGAGUUGGAAAAUAAAACUCUCUCCCCUUGCAGCUUUUCCAGUCUGCAAAAGGUUCCCAAAUGGCCUUGGGGGAAGAAAGAUCAAAUCUAAGAUGCUACCAGUAAAAUGGAACAUGUGAGUCAAGAUCAAGUCACAGGCCGGGCGUGGUGGCUCACACCAAAAUGCUGGUAAUCCCAGCAUUUUGGGAGGCCGAGGUGGGUGGAUCACGAGGUCAGGAGUUCAAGACCAACCUGACCAAGAUGGUGAAACCCCGUCUCCACUAAAAAUACCAAAAAAUUAGCCGGGCGUGCUGGUGGGUGCCUGUAGUCACAGCUACUCAGGAGGCUGAGGCAGAGAAUUGCUUGAACCUGGGAGGCAGAGGUUGCAGUGAGCCGAUAUCACACCACUGCACUCCAGCCUAGGUGACAGAGUGAGACUCCAUCUCAAAAAAAAAUAAAAAAUAAAAAAAUAAAAAAAAUAAAAGAUCAAGUCACAAGUGUGGCUAUAAGACCCUUUGUUAAGACCCCAGAAAGAUUAGCAGUAGAACCUCCUAGAACCUCAGCACUAGAUAAAAGUGUUUCCAAGAAUCUAAAGGACAUCUUCUCAUAGUACUCUGACCCAAAGUAUAAAGAGGUCUGUCACAAAGAGAUUUGUGAGUAUAGCUCUUAUCUAAUGGCAUGAAACCUAAUAAGACUUAUAGGAAUCCUACAUAGUCUUGAAGAGAACUAUAUUAGCAGAAACACAGAGUUGUACUAAAAGAAACAGCUCUGCGGCCAUAAAAAAGAAUGAGUUCAUGUCCUUUGCAGGGACAUGGAUGAAGCUGGAAGCCAUCAUUCUCAGCAAACUAACACAGGAACAGAAAACCAAACACCGCAUGUUCUCACUCAUAAAUGGGAGCUGAACGAUGAGAACACAUGGACACAGGGAGGGGAACAUGACAUACUGGGGCCUAUCAGGGGGUGGGGGGCAAGGGGAGGGAGAGCAUUAGGACAAAUAGCUAAUGCAUGCAUGGCUUAAAACCUAGAUGACAGGUUGAUAGGUGCAGCAAACCACCAUGGCACAUGUAUACCUGUGUAAAAAAUCUGCACGUUCUGCACAAGUAUCCCAGAACUUAAAGUAAAAUAAAUUAAAAAAAAAAGGAAAGAAAAGAAACAGCUCAACUUGAAAAGAGGCCUCUGGACUCUUUCUAAAGGCAGGAAACAGGAUGAGAAAGCUAUUCACCUACAGACACUGGCCAUCCCUUAUGGGAAAAGAAGAAAUAGUCAGAAAGCAGAGUAAGGAACCAUGAAGAACCACUCCCUAGGAACAUAACUGUCCCUGGAGCAGGGGUAAUUGGUGAUAUAUGCCUGUCUGGACUUCAGAAUUGCUGUGGACUGGCAAGUCCUGCAUUCCUUCCAUUCUCCUUCAUUUAGAUGAGAGUCUGCUGUGAUUAUUGUAUGCUGGUCUCACUGGUAUAUGGGGCGAAACAAUUUGUCUUCAGAUCUAGAAGAAAUAUACCCAAGGAGUCUUAUCUACACCUGGACUUGGUUUAGAUGACAAGAUCUUGAACCUUGAGCCAGACUGCUGCUGUAAUAUGGCAAUGGAGAAUCACCAGAUAAUUUUGCAUGGGGCAAUGACAUGGUUAUAUUUCCAUGUGAUGUCUUAUUUGGCUUGGAAAUCAGGUGCUGCUUCCCAGAGGAGGUAUCAGUUAACCUAGGACUGAAAGGAUGGAUUGGAUGUCACCCAGGGACGAAGCGACUGUGACAAGAUACAAGCACAGGGAUCCCAUGAGCUUGGCAGGAGUGUGUGAUCUCACUGCAUAGGUACAGACACAGCACUAAUGGAGGCUGAGCACAGAUGGCAGAACUGGAGACAAGCUCCCGGGAACCCAGGUCCCUGGGAGGUGGCCCUGGCCUGUGGGCAGGCUAUUGCAAAAAUCUAAUGACAAUAUGUUCACGAGAAGGAUUUGAAGACUGUAAAAGUCUGUGAAGGAAACAUGUGGCCGUGUUGUGCUUGAAGAUCAAACUCUGAGGAAUGAAGGACAAAAACUUGGCAGAGCCUGAUGCUGUGGGAGUUUUGAGUGAUUUCUCUGCAGCUGGGGGAAGAAAGCUCCCAUGUUGUGAGGCAUAAAAAGGCCCACAUGUCAAAGAACUACAGCCUGCCAGCGACCACGUGACUGAGCUUGGAGGUGGAUCAUCCCUCAGGGAAGCCUUGAGAUGACAGCAGGCUGGGAGGGAUGCUCAGCCAGGACCAUGCAGCCAUGCUGCUCCGGCAUUCCUGAACCACAGAUGCUGUGAGAUGACAUUUUUUUCCCUCUACAUGUGUCAGCACUUCCCAGAUGUGAUGAUGGUAUUUGAAAGAGCAUGAUCUGGAAAUCCUGAGCCGUGCUGCCACAAGAAAAUGGAUGCACAGAGGACAAGGCCAGGCAGCGCAGGUCUUCAUUACACUGAGACUUUGCCUGAGUCCCAUGGUGCCCCAGUGCCCUGGCCUGGGCACAUCAGCACUGCCUUCUGUCCAGGCCCCAUGAGUCUCAGAUGGUGGACCCUGGUGACGGAAGGCUGGGUAGAUGCCAUGGACCUUUCCAUAGGUCAUAGCCACAGCUGAGCACUUGGUGUCUUACUACUCAGUGGAGAGGAGAAGUGUGCUGAAGGGUGGUAAGAGAGUGUGUCCAGGGGCCCAGACCAGAGUGGGCCAUGCCUCAUCUAGAGAGCAAGCAUCUUCCAGAAAGGAGAGCCCUUGGGUCCUUUUACAGAAGCAAUCAGAAAAACAUCGGGAAUCUCCCAGAAGACUGAAUGUAAGAGGACGAAGGGUCCGGGCACAGUGGCUCAUUCCUGUAAUCCCAGAACUUUGGGAGACUGAGGUGAGUGGAUCACUUGAGGUCAGGAGUUCGAGACCAGCCUGAACAACAUGGUGAAACCCCAUCUCUACUAAAAAUACAAUAUUAGCUGGGCAUAGUGGCGCAUGCCUGUAAUCCCAGCUACUCAGGAGGCUGAGGCAGGAGAAUCGCUUGAACCCAGGAGGAGGAGGUUGCAGUGAGCCGAGAUUGCAUCACCGCAUUCCAGCCUGGGCAACAAAGCAAGACUUCAUCACACACACACACACACACACACACACACACACACACACACAAACGAAACAACAACAACAACAAAACCAAAAAAAAAGAAAAAGAAAAGUCAGGUCUGGGGAGCUGAAGUGGCUGACAGAGGAGGAGGAGAAUUAUCUGCAGUGCUUCCCAAAUUCAGGACACUCACCCAGUGCAUCUCAAAGCCUGAGUCCUCAUAUCUCUUCUGGGGAAAGGAGAGAAAGAAUUGCUGGUGGAUUCUGCUGUGUUUUGCCUUGAGGUCAUUAUGGGCAAAAUUUCACACCUAUAAGGCCCAUUGCUGAGGAGGGAGUGGACCUCUGUGAUUCCUCUUGAGCAAAGGAAUAAACAUCCUAAGUUUGUGAGUAAAGCGUCCAUCACAUUCUCUGGAGCCAUCACUGCUGUUUGGAGAGGUGGGAGUUGAGAGAGGCCAUUACUGGGCAGAACCUGAGUUUUCACUUGAAGAUUCGUCCCUUAUGAAUCCAGCCCCUAGAAAACAGAGCAGCCAGCAGGCCUGUGACAUUUCAGUUUGGCUAUAAAAACUACAGGUUAAUAAUAAAACUCUUUUCUGGUUUUAAAAUUAUAUUCACGUGCAUCAGCUCACAUUUCUGAAAAAGCACUUAGGACAGCACCUGAGGCAACUUAAGCAUCAUAUAAAUGUUGGUUUUGUGGUCAUUCUUGUUUUAUAAUUAUUAUUAUUUGUAUCCUCACCCUGGUAGGCAGACAAGGCCAUAGUCAAUAUUAUAGUCGUUUUAUGGAUAAUAAAAAAUGGGAGAGGAAUUAAGUAACCUAUUUAAAUUCAUAUAAUAAACAAAUGGCAGAGCCAGGACUUGAAGCCAGGUUUUUAGGCUGCACAUCUCAGCUUUAACAAAUGACAGAACACCUGCUCUCACAUGUGGCUUUAUUUGUCACCUAACCACCCUCUUAGGCAGGUAGGCACUGGGGGCAGUGCUCAUGAGCUAGGCUUUUCAGCAAGAACCAGACAUGGAUAUGUAUUGGUUCUGUCACUUACCAGCCCUGUGACCUGGAGCUGGUUUUUUAACCUCUCUGGGCCCCACAAUUUUCACUGGUAGAUGGAGUAACAGUAGUGCUGACAUCCAGGGCUGUGGAUGAGGAUUGGGGAAGAUAUUUUGAUAUGAGUCUAGUGCUCAGCACACAAUGGCAGUGAUUAUAAUCACAAUAUGGUCAUUUUUCAGAUGAGAAAACUAGCUCAGAGAACAAAUGUGAUUUUCUAAAGAUUUGGGUUUCCUUGCUCCUAAUUCCUAGUUCCUGCCACCACUGAAAUCAGGACCGUAGAUGUUGCUCUCAGCAUGACCAUUAGUUUAGACAGCUGUAGGUAAUCAGAGCCAAGCAAUGCCCUCCCAAAUACAACAAUCACACACAGAAAAACAUGGAACCCUUCUGCAGAUGCCUUCCUUCACUAGCCCUAACCUCACUCUAGUGUCAUCUUUAUUUGGUUCAAGCCCUACCCAGUAUUUCUGUCUUCACCUGGAUUUAAAUGCUCCUGUGAUCACACAUAAGCUUUCAUGCAUCUAUGUCUCGUUUCUAUAAUCAUUACAGUGUAAGUGAACAUAUAAUAGCUGCUUCUUCAGACCACACUUCCUCUCGGCAGUGCCUACCACAAUCAUGGUAGGUAUUGACUCUAUGUCUAGUGGCCCCACCUUUCCUCUGUAGCCCAAGCCACAUAUCUUUGUUGCUUCCUUUUACUUCUUUGCUAGUCACAGUUUGUAGUUGCAGACAACAGAGUCCAUUUCCAUUUCUGAAAGAAAGAUUUUUCCUUCUUUUUUCUUCUUCUCUCUCUUUUCUUCUCACUCACAGAAUUAUUCGAAGGGUAGACAUCUGAGCUCUAGACUAAGCUCCCAGGUCCACAUGUAGAUUUGUCCCAUUCACGUCGAUGCAGUUGUCCCUGAGAUGAGAAACCACACAGCUUUUGCCGUCCCCUGUACCAGCAAAAUGGAUGCCCCCUGUCCAGCCUGUGUCCCUGCAUAGGUUACUUCUGGAUGGAAUUCUCAUACUGGUGCAUCUGGCUAGUUGAAUCAGGCACAUUUCUGCCCCCAAGCUGUGAGGGAGGCUGGGAAAUGUAGGUUUUGUUUCUGCUCUGGGAAGGCAAGGGUAACACUGAUGGAAACUAUCCACGAGUUAAUGGAGCAUUUAAAGUAUUUGGGGGACACAGAGCAAAGACAAGGUGUAUAAUCCAUCUUCAGCAUCCACAUGUAAUUGGUAAGCAAAUUUCAGCAGUUCUAAAUAUGAACACUUCUGGGAUUCAUCUACUUCUCUCUACCCCACUGCAGUCCUUUGGCUCAGUGCUUCUCACAUGGACAAUGGCAACAGCUUGUAAGUAGUCUCUCUGGCUCAGUCCCCUUUCUGCCCUAUCUCACGUAUGUUUUGUAGCCAGUGUUACUCCUUUGCUUAAAAUCCUCAAAGCUCCUGGUUGCUUUCAGAAGUGAGUUUAAACUUAUAAUUAUGGCUUUUAAAAUCCUUUGGAAUCUCAGGCCGGGGGUGGUGGCUCACGUCUGUAAUCCCAGCACUUUGGGAGGCUGAAGCGGGUGGAUCACC
rnacentral:lncRNA from 10 species